rnacentral:rRNA from 1 species
UACGUAGGGGGCAAGCGUUGUCCGGAAUCAUUGGGCGUAAAGAGCGCGUAGGCGGCCCUGUAAGUCCGCUGUGAAAGUCAAGGGCUCAACCCUUGGAUGCCGGUGGAUACUGCAGGGCUAGAGUCCGGAAGAGGCGAGUGGAAUUCCUGGUGUAGCGGUGAAAAUGCGCAGAUAUCAGGAGGAACACCGAUGGCGAAGGCAGCUCGCUGGGACGGUACUGGACGCUGAGGCGCGAAAGCGUGGGGGAGCAAACAGG